GCGCUUGUUUCCAUGACGUCGGUGGGCAGGGCCGCGGCGUUUGAUGGAGCCCGGCGGGCUUCGGGGGCGCGGCCACUGCACAGCAUUAUUACAGCCCCAGACCAGAUAAAAGAGUACAAAGAUACUUCGUGAACAAUGGCGCAAAGUCUACAUUCAAAGAAAAAAAUAGCAAAGCAUAAAAUCCUGGAAUUGACAGAGAAUCUGACCCUAUAAAGGACUUGGAUCAGGCAUGAGAGAGACGAGAAAAAGAGAGCAGGGUAUCAAAAAGGAGAAAGGGAUAGACCACAUGAAACCUCCAGCACUCAUACAAUGCACAAAGAAAUGAGAUGAAAUCUUCCUGACGUCUUUCUAUCUCCAUCCCUGGGACAAGGGAGAAGAGGAGUGUGUCCCUUUCAUCAACAAACAGCAGGGGGGAGAAGGAAGACAGCAAAUAAAGGGCGUAGAUGUUUUGGCCAUCUUAAUGGCAACCAGAAGAUGGGAAGAAAAACAAAUUACUCCAUGACUGACAUCCUGGGAAAAGAAUAGUCUCAUGCUUUAACAAUUCAGACAUCAAAAUCACGUGCUGGACUAUGAAAACAUGGCGCAUUUGUGUUGUGACACUACAUGAUGUGGUGGCUUUAAACAAAACUACAACAAUUUCUGCUAACUGAAGUUUGACUGAUCAGUGGUGAAUGCAAUUUUGUGCAUUUGAUGCAUCAAGCACUUUAAAAUCAGUGGUAUAGCCCUGUCUUUGGUUAUAGGCUUUGAUUAAGAAGGAAACCUAAGGUACCGGAACAUCCUGCUAAUGUUGUGGACUGUUUGGAAAUUGCCAGAAUAUGUAUAUCCAGCUCCUGAUCCUUAGGUGCUACCAUAGUGUAAGUACUAAAUAAUGACAUAAGAAAUGGCUUUAUUGUAUGUCAAUGCACAGAACUUACUUUCUGUGUCUCCUGAGCUGGUAGAAAUGUGAAAGCAGCCCAGGCAGUCAGCUGCCAUCACUGGUGAGCUACCACUGGGGUUCAGGUGUGCUCUGUGCAGAUCAAAUUGCAAGGCCUGGGCUUGCCACGAGACGCUGUCAAAAUAAGGAAAUAUGUGCUCAGAGAGGUAUGGAAUAAAACAGUUCUCAAGGAGGAGGCAGAAGGUUUUCUUUUUCUCUCGCAUUUGCCAAGUGCAUUUACACAUGGAGUUCUUGGCCGCCACUUGUGCAGACUUCCCUCGGAAAUAUUUUCCAUCUGUUAUACUCACAUGAAAAAAAAAAAAAAUCCCACCCCUGGAGAUUCUACCCCCAUCCCUAAAAUGGAGCCUCUUUUUGUCUCUGACAGCUUUCAGCAAGACCUUUAUUAAAGGGGGGGAAGGCAGACAAGGUGCUUUCUACCAUUUCAUACCAAGAGCUCCAGCCAGCAGGAUCACAAAUGCCCAGAAAAGCAAGGAGAAACAGAUUCUGUUUCACCUUGACUCCUUGUUUCAUCCUCCAGCAAUCCUCCUUUUAUCUGCGGCUCUCUAAGCUCCAUCAGCUGCUCCAUCCAGGCCUACUAAGAAUUAAGAGUCUCCUUAUCUGUGGAGGACAGUCAAAUAAAGUACAGCCAGAAAUUCUUGACACAGCCUUCUAUACUUAGAAGUGUGUGUAAAAUGCCAGUCAUCUUCUUCACACAAGUACCAGAAAAUUUUCUUUUUUAACAUGUUUCCCAACAAUAUUAUCUCUUUUAAUAAUAUUAUCUUUUUUAAUAUGUUUCCUAAUAAUAACCGCAGUAAAAUGACUGAAAAAGAAAAUCACUGAAAAAAUACACUGGGAGUUUCAGCAUUGUAAGCCUGAUCAGUAACCACAUAGGGGAAGUACGUGGUCUGUUAUGUCUGGUUUCUUCAAAAGAUUAAUUAUUUUGGAAAUAAACUGCUCACUUAUCCAACACUUGUGAUUUGCAGAAGACAAACUUUGUGACAACACUUAGCGAUUGAUGGAAGACCUGUUCUAAAUGCAUUGAAAGUUAGGGCAUUAGAUGGCAAGAGAGACAACUGGUAUUAGGGUAACUACAUAUUUUGAACAAGUAGGAUCUUUCUUUAAUAGAAUAUUCUUAGUCUAAAUUUCUGCUUCACAUGCCAUGUGAAAGGCAGCUGUAGCUCCAGAACAACUGAAUAGCAAGACCUAUUUAAAAGAUUGGCCUGCUGUUCCUAUCACCGAUAGAGAAAAUCUGAAAGUUCUGUUGUAUUUUAGUUAUAUUUCAGCAUUAUGGACGUUUGAAAAUUAUGAAUAAGAAUAUUGGAACUAAGUCGAGUUCUUGUUUCUCAGAAGGGUUUUUUGGUUUUCCCCAUGUACCCCCCCUCCCCAGCUCUACACAAGCCGUCUCCAUUAUCCCUCAAGGCACUGUAAGCAAUGGGUUAACGUGUUUUCCGUGCAGACACAUUGGACUGCAGCAUAUUAACUGGGCUUCAGCUCUCCUGCGUGACACCACACAGUGCACCAGGCUGUGGCUGGGCUGACAAGGCUUUACUGUGACUCAUUAUAAUAGGAGGCACAAUCAGCUGGUGUAGUGAAAAAAAUAUAGGUUUAUCAAGGAUAAAGAAAACAAGUUAUUCAGGAGGAAAUGAUCCAUAACUGCUCAUUAUUAAAGCCUUUGAAAUUACUUGUAUAAGAAAAAAGGAAUUACAUAAUAAAUUUAACUCCCUGGUGUGUUCUCAUAAGCACUAGUGAGCCAAGCUAUCCUGGGAGCCAAAACACACGCAAAUUCUGAACCUGCUUUUCAGCAGGCCUCUUGUAGGUGUUUUUACAGCAUUUAAUAUAAUUAUUGAUUCAUUCCAUAUUGGAAGAAAAUGAAGGUGGCAACCACAUGAAAAUUUCAUUUCUUUUGAGAAGAAAAGACAGAAGAAAGAGUAUGAAUUGAAAAAUCACAUUCGAAAUUUCUCCCCUCACAAGUAAAAAAAAAAUGAAUACGAAUCUAAUGAUAUCAUUGUUAAUAGAAAACAUAUGGAUGUGAGAAAGUACUUUCAGCUUACCUGAAUCACUCCUGUUGCAGAUCUGAUCGUGGUGUUUUUCUCCACAUCCCUUUUUAAAAGUUUUUAGGCAAUAGUUGCUGUCAUCCGACAUACAUGUUUCACUGCAGAGGCAGCUGCAAUCCAGCUUUGGCUAAAGGAUUCAUAGUUUGCAGGGACAAGAGGGAAAAGAGUAGCAAAAAAUGGCAAAAAGGGAAGAUAAAUCUUGUAGUGGCCUCUGAUCUCCAUGGUCUGCUGCCUACCAGCAGUGACCCCAAGCAGAGCACAGAUGCACAUACAUGGGUCUAUAUAGUCAGUCUCUCCCUUCUACCCUGCAGCCGGCUUUGCCUUGCCAGCUGUUCUAAUACCGCAGGAAGGUAUUCCUUAUUGCUAGGCCUGCAGGAAGGAGGAGGAUGAGGGAAGGAGGAAGAUGCUGUUGAUGAGGUGUAGGGCCGAAGGGGUGCUGCUAGAUGCUCCCCAAGCUUCACUACAAUGACUGUCUUACUGUGCCCACCUCACUUCCAGGGAGACUGUUGGCCGCACCCAAAUGGGGGCAAUUACACGGGAUAUGUUGCCCUGUGUGUGUGACUGAUGGACAAAUUGCCAUGGUGCUCACCUAUAUAUUACAUUACAUGCACAGCAACUGAGAAUCCUGCUGAGCUCUCAAGAAUUUAAUGACGCAGAGCAGGCAGAGACACAGGAACUCAUGUAUAUGUGUGCACAUACUUCAAGAUGUAAAAGACUGAUGCCAUCUUGCUCUGGGUGCCAAAACAUCUUAUUAAGGUCACGAUGCUGAGGUUACAUCAUGUUUCUAUUCUAAUAUGCUUCUUUUAAUGGCUAAUAGCAUUCUGAAACUUUUCUCUUUUCCAGACCUGAUUUCUGUCCAAAUGUGAUUUUAUUUGGAAAGUUUGAACUAAAAUGUUUCUGAUUUUUCUUAUUUACUUUGAAUUUGAGGACUAUUGGAAAAUAAAGUUGUGUUUAAGU